UUCCCGAAAGAAGAAAGAAACCGCAACAAAAAAGUUUGUUCCUUCUAUCUUUCCCUGGCCUUCUGCCCUCCUUCUCUUUCUGCUGAUUGGUUCCUCCCGCUAAGUGGCGCGCUCAGCUCAUGGAAAGCAGCGUGGAGAAGACUGGCGUGGAGGGAGGCUACUCAGCAUCCUACUAAUCCUCCCGACUCCUGUGGAGCGACAGAGAAGGUGUGUCACACAAACGCGCACACACUCCAUGAAUGAGUCAGCGCGUCAAUGAAGAAGAUGUGGAAGAACAUGUUACUACACAGCUUUGCCUCUCC